rnacentral:misc_RNA from 1 species
GAUGAAGAACGUAGCGAAAUGCGAUAAGUAGUGUGAAUUGCAGAAUUCAGUGAAUCAUCGAAUCUUUGAACGCACAUUGCGCCCUUUGGUAUUCCUUAGGGCAUGCCUGUUCGAGCGUCAUUUAAACCUUCAAGCUCAGCUUGGUGUUGGGUGACUGUCCGCUUCACCGCGGACUCGCCUCAAAAUUAUUGGCGGCCGGUACAUUGGCUCUCGAGCGCAGCAGAAACGCGUAACUCGAGGUCCUCGUGCUGGCUCCCAGAAGCUAUCUUCACAAUUUUGACCUCGGAUCAGGUAGGGAUACCCGCUGAACUUAAGCAUAUCAAUAAGCGAGGA